UACGUAGGGGGCGAGCGUUGUCCGGAUUUAUUGGGCGUAAAGAGCUCGUAGGCGGUUCGAUAAGUCGGAUGUGAAAUCUCCACGCUCAACGUGGAGAGGCCAUUCGAUACUGUCGUGACUCGAGUCCGGUAGGGGAGUGUGGAAUUCCCGGUGUAGCGGUGGAAUGCGCAGAUAUCAGGAGGAACACCGAUGGCGAAGGCAGAUCUCUGGGCCGUUACUGACACUGAGGCGCGAAAGCGUGGGGAGCGAACAGG
rnacentral:rRNA from 1 species